CCUACGGGGGGCAGCAGUCGAGAAUCAUUCACAAUGGGGGAAACCCUGAUGGUGCGACGCCGCGUGGGGGAAUGAAGGUCUUCGGAUUGUAAACCCCUGUCAUGUGGGAGCAAAUUAAAAAGAUCGUACCACAAGAGGAAGAGACGGCUAACUCUGUGCCAGCAGCCGCGGUCAUACAGAGGUCUCAAGCGUUGUUCGGAAUCACUGGGCGUAAAGCGUGCGUAGGCUGUUUCGUAAGUCGUGUGUGAAAGGCGCGGGCUCAACCCGCGGACGGCACAUGAGACUGCGAGACUAGAGUAAUGGAGGGGGAACCGGAAUGCUCGGUGUAGCAGUGAAAUGCGUAGAGAUCGAGAGGAACACUCGUGGCGAAGGCGGGUUCCUGGACAUUAACUGACGCUGAGGCACGAAGGCCAGGGGAGCGAAAGGGAUUAGAUACCCCGGUAGUC
rnacentral:rRNA from 1 species